rnacentral:rRNA from 1 species
AGCGAACGCUGGCAGCAGGCCUAACACAUGCAAGUCGAACGAACCUUUCGGGGUUAGUGGCGGACGGGUGAGUAACACGUGGGAACGUGCCUUUAGGUUCGGAAUAACUCAGGGAAACUUGUGCUAAUACCGAAUGUGCCCUUCGGGGGAAAGAUUUAUCGCCUUUAGAGCGGCCCGCGUCUGAUUAGCUAGUUGGUUGAGGUAAUGGCUCAACAAGGCGACGAUCAGUAGCUGGUCUGAGAGGAUGAUCAGCCACAUUGGUACUGAGACACGGCCCAAACUCCUACGGGAGGCAGCAGUGGGGAAUCUUGCGCAAUGGGCGAAAGCCUGACGCAGCCAUGCCGCGUGAAUGAUGAAGGUCUUAGGAUUGUAAAAUUCUUUAACCGGGGACGAUAAUGACGGUACACGGAGAAGAAGCCCCGGCUAACUUCGUG